GAUGAACGCUGGCGGCGUGCUUAACACAUGCAAGUCGAACGAUGAAGGCGGAGCUUGCUCUGCUGGAUCAGUGGCGAACGGGUGAGUAACACGUGAGCAAUCUGCCCCUGACUCUGGGAUAAGCGCUGGAAACGGCGUCUAAUACUGGAUACGAGCUGCGAAGGCAUCUUCAGCAGCUGGAAAGAAUUUCGGUCAGGGAUGAGCUCGCGGCCUAUCAGCUUGUUGGUGAGGUAAUGGCUCACCAAGGCGUCGACGGGUAGCCGGCCUGAGAGGGUGACCGGCCACACUGGGACUGAGACACGGCCCAGACUCCUACGGGAGGCAGCAGUGGGGAAUAUUGCACAAUGGGCGAAAGCCUGAUGCAGCAACGCCGCGUGAGGGACGACGGCCUUCGGGUUGUAAACCUCUUUUAGCAGGGAAGAAGCGAAAGUGACGGUACCUGCAGAAAAAGCGCCGGCUAACUACGUG
rnacentral:rRNA from 1 species